rnacentral:rRNA from 1 species
UACAGAGGCCUCGAGCGUUAGGCGGAAUCACUGGGCUUAAAGCGUGUGUAGGCGGACUUUUAAGUACCUUGUGAAAUCCCACGGCUUACCCGUGGAACUGCUCGGUAUACUGGUUGUCUUGAGCCACCUAGGGGCGAGUGGAACAAAUGGUGGAGCGGUGAAAUGCGUAGAUAUCAUUUGGAACGCCAAUGGUGAAAACAACUCGCUGGGGGUGUGCUGACGCUGAGACACGAAAGCCAGGGGAGCGAACGGG